CGGCUUCCUCCCAACAUACUUGUGGAAGGACUUUUGGUUAAUCUCCUUUCAGUAUUUACACGAUCGCUGUUCGGCUUGAAAACUUCAGCGAUGAGCCUUUUUCCGACAGAACAGGAAGUGAAAUGAACUAUUUCUGGUCAUUCUCCUUAAGGUUGGUCGUUUAUGGGACACACACUGGUGCAGGCUAGAGCUCCUCUAUAUCUGAAAGCAAUGUUGGGGAAAUGCAUCCAGAUGAACCAGAUUUUUCAAGUUCUGGCAGAAUACUACCGCUUAGCUCUGCCCAUGGGCUUGAGUCUUCUCUG
rnacentral:lncRNA from 1 species